rnacentral:rRNA from 3 species
AACGUAGGAGGCUAGCGUUAUCCGGAUUUAUUGGGCGUAAAGCGCGUGCAGGCGGUUUGAUAAGUUGGAUGUGAAAUCUCCCGGCUUAACUGGGAGCGGUCGUUCAAAACUAUCAGACUAGAGAAUGGGAGAGGAAGGUGGAAUUCCGGGUGUAGUGGUGAAAUGCGUAGAUAUCCGGAGGAACACCAGUGGCGAAAGCGGCCUUCUAGACCAUUUCUGACGCUAAGACGCGAAAGCUAGGGUAGCAAACGGG